rnacentral:rRNA from 1 species
GGGGAAUAUUGGACAAUGGGGGCAACCCUGAUCCAGCCAUGCCGCGUGAGUGAUGAAGGCCUUCGGGUUGUAAAGCUCUUUUGGCGGGGACGAUGAUGACGGUACCCGCAGAAUAAGCCCCGGCUAACUUCGUGCCAGCAGCCGCGGUAAGACGAAGGGGGCUAGCGUUGUUCGGAUUUACUGGGUUUAGAGGGUGCGUAGGUGGGCUUAUAAGUCAGUGGUGAAAUCUCCGAGCUUAACUUGGAAACUGCCGUUGAUACUAUAGGUCUUGAAUUAUCUGGAGGUAAGCGGAAUAUGUCAUGUAGCGGUGAAAUGCUUAGAUAUGACAUAGAACACCAAUUGCGAAGUCAGCUUACUACAUAUAAAUUGACGCUGAGGCACGAGAGCGUGGGGAUCAAACA